GAGAACGAGAGAAUCACAGGGGAAGGACAGACGCAGGAGAGGACAUAUGCUGAUCGAGAGUUAGUAGAAAAUCUCCAAGCGUCGGGUCACACCAGUGUUAGUGGAUAAAGCCUGGCGCAUGCUGUGGUCAUCCAAAGACCAACCCUGUGUCCAGUGAAGGGUCUCAAGCCUGUUGUGGAAGUGACUGUUAGGAAGUGGUUCAGUGACCAGCUGCCUGUACACAUUGGUUUGAGUUUGUCCUUUGAAUUUGUUCCCAGUGUGUUGGUGUGUGUGUGUCCACCUGGGAUAAAGUUGGAGUCGGAUAGGCAGGCACGGACUUCACUGCUGUUUCCAGAACACUGAUUCCCAGUUGGAAAUA